CACGUAGGUGGCAUGACAAGUCUGGUGUGAAAUAUCUCGGCUCAACCGAGAAAACGCACUGGAAACUGUCAAGCUUGAGUAUCGGAGGGGAAGCUAGAAUUCCUGGUGUAGGGGUGAAAUCUGUAGAUAUCAGGAAGAAUACCGGUGGCGAAGGCGAGCUUCUGGCCAGAUACUGACGCUGAGAUGCGAAAGCGUGGGGAGCGAACAGGAUUAGAUACCCUGGUAGUCC
rnacentral:rRNA from 1 species